AGGGGUAUAGCUCAGUGGUAGAGUAGCGGUCUCCAAAACCGUUGACCUAGGUUCGAGCCCUAGUACCCCUG
rnacentral:tRNA from 1 species